CACGUAGGCGGACUCUUAAGUCAGGGGUGAAAUCCUGGAGCUCAACUCCAGAACUGCCUUUGAUACUGGGAGUCUUGAGUUCGGGAGAGGUGAGUGGAACUGCGAGUGUAGAGGUGAAAUUCGUAGAUAUUCGCAUGAACACCAGUGGCGAAGGCGGCUCACUGGCCCGAUACUGACGCUGAGGUGCGAAAGCGUGGGGAGCAAACA
rnacentral:rRNA from 1 species